UACAGAGGGUGCGAGCGUUAAUCGGAAUUACUGGGCGUAAAGCGUGCGUAGACGGUUAUUUAAGUCGGAUGUGAAAGCCCCGGGCUCAACCUGGGAAUUGCAUUCGAGACUGAAUAGCUAGGGUACGGUAGAGGGAAGUGGAAUUUCCGGUGUAGCGGUGAAAUGCGUAGAUAUCGGAAGGAACAUCAGUGGCGAAAGCGGAUCUCUGGGCCUUACCUGACGCUGAGGCGCGGAAGCUAGGGGAGCAAACAGG
rnacentral:rRNA from 1 species